AGAAUUUACUUUAGUAUGUCUGUAGCUGUUGGCUGCUUUGAUUGCGGACAGCAUGUACGAGAAAUCAAAAGGAAAAGUGAAGAGGAGAGAGAAUACUGACAAGAGGGGAGAUGGCAGGACAAAUAUCCUAGGAGUCCUGCUUUCCAUGAUCAGCUAAGUAUACACAGCUCUGAUCUAAGCCUCCCAUUAUGGAGAAUCUUCAGAGGAGCACACGUCUUUGCUGGCUGGCAUAUCAACAUUCAUGAUCCUGGCAUGUGGAAGAAUACUCUGAUUAUUGCCCAAGACAUUAGCAUUAAAAAUUCCUUCUAAGGCAUUUCUUUAUUCUUAAGUAAAUCCUGUUAAGGAAAAAUAGGAAUGUAUAAGCGAUUAAUAAAUUAAGGUGAGUUACUUUCUAAUUUGACAGAAUUGGGAGCUUUUAGCAAAUAAGGACAUUGCCCAGAGAGGAAAAGCAGAUAAUUCAGAGUGCUCAGAAGCUAGAGUUGGCUUUUUAGGGGAACUAACUUAAGAGUAAAGAGACUCCUUUAUGUCUAUUUAUUGUUUAUGAAAUUGAUGUAGAUGUUACUUUAAUAAUUGACUUACAUAACAUUAUUGAUAUUUUUCUACCCUGAUUUUUCAAGUGAUCUGUGUUCUUUAUAUUUUGACUUCUCUAUAAUAUUUUGCACAAAUGAUAAUCAGAAAUCACAAUGUGCUAAGUCUAAAUGAACUUUAGAAAGAGAAUGACAAACAAUUUGAUUCAAGAUUAACAUUAUAAUUGACAUUCUUAAAAAAAUAUUUCAGCAUUACUACAUAAGGAUCAUGUUACUUUUGUAAUUUUUCUAUUGUUAUGUGAUAAAUCAAAGAGGUAAAGAAAAAUAAAGGAUACAAGACAAAUGAUUAGAGUUCAUUGUAAGCUGGGAAGAAAGCAAUUCUUGUUAACUAAGUCAAAUUGAAAGCGAAUACACCUAAGAAAGUGUAAA
rnacentral:lncRNA from 1 species